UCUCUCUCUCUCUCUCUCUCUUUCUUUUUUUUAAAAAACAGCAGUAUUUGGUUUUACCCCAAUUCACCAGCCCACCUAGUUCUAGGUUCUUGGUUACCCAUUCCAAUUAGAUAUUGGUUGGUGACUCCAAGUUUUGUACCACACCCUUGGAUUUGCAUAUCUUGUAGGCAGGACUCCACUGUAGAUGAAAAGAUUUGUAGCUGGGUUGAUAUUUUUGUAGCAUGCAGAUUUGGGUAGCACGCUGAGAACCUUCCUAUACCAGAGAUAUUAGGAUGUAAAUAUGAAAGAUCUAUAUAGAAACCAGCUCAAUUUCCCCAUGUUCAAUGAACUGUGUAGAUGCUAUCAUCAUCAAUAGGGCCUUGCUUUCAUUUUGUGGAAAGCAAUCUAUAUACUUGACAGCAGUCUGUCUUGAGUUGUUUGGGGAUUCCUAUGGGACCUUUUUGUCCAACAACUUUAAUAGAGGUAAACAAAUCCUGGUGCUGUAAGCUUCAUCUGGUGACAAGAGAUGGCUAGUUGGAGCUGUCUUCCCUAUUAUUUGGUAGUUUCAUUUAGAUUACCUCCAUAUACAUUUACCCUUUUACAAAGAAUCUACUGUAGUAGGUUUCCAUACUAAACUUCGAAUGGUCUUUAAUUUUACCUGCUUUCCAUGUAUUCUCCCAUCUCUGCCUUGCCUUGCCUCACUGCAUCCUGUUCCAGCCCCCCUCCCUAAUCCACCUAUAACCAUCUAUAUAGUUCCCUUUCUUAUGAAGGUUUAUCUCCUUCACUAGUUCAUUACUCUAUAUGAAACCUUUGUAAUUCUUUGUAUUAUAAUUUGGUUAUUAUUGAUUUAACAGCUAAUAGUCACAUGUUGGGAAACCCGGCUACUUAAGGUCAUGGUCUACCAUGUCCAGAUAGUCCCUCUCAGCUCAGUGAAAAAUGGAGGGCUCCCUUUUCCAGCAGAGCUUCCCUUCUCUGACCUUGUCUGGGAAGAGCAACCCCCAUACCCUCUACCUAAGGAAGGUCACAUAGCUCUUGGCAGACCUAUAGGUAUAUCUGUGGUAGAAUAAAGCAACUUUUGGUAUAUGUCCAAGAGUCAUAUAGUUAGGUCUUGAGAUUGCCAUCUUCUAGAGGGACAGCCACACUGAUUUCCCUGGUAGCUGUACAAGUUUGCAGGCCCACCAUCAAUGGAUGAAUAGUUCCCUUCCCCAUAUCCUUGCCAGCUUGAGCUGUCCUUUAUUUUAUUGACCUUAGCCAUUCUGACUGGUGUAAGAUGAAAUUGCAAAGUAGUUUUGAUUUACAUUUGCUUGAUGACUAAAGAUGUUGAACAUUUCUUUGUUUCUCAGCCACUCGAUUUUCAUCUUUUGAGAAUUCUCUGUUUAGAUCCGUACCCCUUUUUUAAAAUUGAGUUAUUUUUUUUCUUGAUAAAUGAAGUCAAAUUGAAGACCCAGAUAUAAAUUCACACACCUGUGGACACUUUAUUUUUUUAUAACGAAGCCAGAAAUACACACUGAAAAAAGACAUCACCUUCAACAAAUGGUGCUGGCCAAACUGAGCAGCUGUAUGUAGAAGAAUCCAAAUACAUUCAUACUUAUAACCCUGCACAAAACUCAACUCUAAAUGGAUCCAAUACAUUGAACACGAUAGAUAAGAAGGUGCAGACUCUUAAGUAUUUUGACUUACAAAUAAAGAAAAAUUACCCUUGAACUUAAUGCUGCUUUGCUCCCACCACACAAAUCUUUAAAACCAGACUCUACAGAAUUAGACUGCUCCCAUUUUAAAAUGUUCUAAAGUGGAGCUCAAUGAUUAUUUUUAAUCAGUAUAUAUCAAUUUUUAAAAAGGAAAAAAUAAUGGAUAGCAUUUAAUUAAAAUGUAGCAGGCACAUAAAGAAAUGUAGGAAACAUAAUUCAUAAAGAAGAUAAAAUUAAUUAAUUGAGCUGUCCCUGAAAUGACACAGAUGUCAGAAUUAAAGACAAAGACAUUCAGGCAGUAAUUAUAACUGUGUACCAUAUGUUCACGGGGAAGCAGAGAGACUGGCUGUGUUAAACUCAGAUAGGAUAUUAUCCCGAAGCACCAGAUCAAAUCAGUGGAAAUUAAAAACUAUAAUGCAUGACAAUAAAAACAUACUUGGUAAGAUUAACGGUAGAUUAUAUUAUGUCAGAAAGCAAUGUUAAAAGUUUGAUGGCCAUAAUGAAAAUAAACCACAGUGAAGUGCAAGAGAAAACAAUUAUUGAAAAUUGAUUAUCAAUGACUUAUAUAAAACAUAAAGUGAUUUCAUAUACUUGUAGUUACAUUCCAUCCUCAAACAAAUAAAUAUAUACAAAAAUAUAAAAUUAAAAGAAAUCCCUAUUAAACCUAUAAAAACUCUAAACUCUGACAGGUGAGAUUGCUCAUAACUGUAACCCCAGCACCUGGGAGGCAAGAGACAGUAGUAUAGACAUGAGUUCUAAGCCAACCUGGGCUAUGCAGAGGAUCAUAGACAGCAUUUGCUACAGAGAGAAAUCAUGACUAAAACUACUAGUCAAACAAUGAAAAUUAUGCCUCAAGACAAAGUCUAAGUUUAUAUACAGACACACACAUACACAUGCACACGCAUGUGCACACACACACACACUACAAAACAAUAUCACUUAAAUUGCUCAAAGCUUGUGUUAAGAGAAAACAUCGCUACUUUAACUAUAUGAAAGUUUUUUGAGAUGUUUAGACUCAAGGGAUAGUUAAUUUUGGUAUGUGAUUUUUUUUUAUUUGCACAUUUUUAUCAUAAAGUUUAGUUGAAAGUUUAAAAAGAAAGCAUUAAAAGCAGUCAGAUUAAAAAAACAAACAAAC
rnacentral:lncRNA from 1 species